CUUCAGGAAGACAACUGAUUAUUAAAAUGCCCCAAGUUGUAUCACACAGUCCUACUUAUAAAUAUAAACAAUGAUUUAUAUCUCCUGUAGGUACCUCUGUCACACCAGAGGGAUAUGUUCCUGGAAAGGAAACAGGUCAGGGUGAUUUAAAGCCCUAUUCCCCCCUUGCCUCAGUGAAAGGGUAUUCCAGCAGCAACCUAUCCAACGUGCGGGCCUGGAAAAUGAAAUGAUAGGAAGGUGAUCAUUUUCCAUUCUCUACAGAAACAGUGUCCACAUGAGAGGGCUUCCAGUGCUUUAGGGCUACACUGAUGCUUCCAAGAUUAAUCGGAGACAAAAUGUUCUGUUGCUUUAUUUCCUUCCCCCCAACUUUUUUUUUUUUUUGGCAUUUUAGGUACCACUGGAGAAUUUUCUGGAACGACCAUUAUAUCUGGAAGUUCUAACACAGGUAGCUUAACAAGAAGUAAAUUCUUAUUUAAUGUCAGCUGUCAUAUUUCUUUUAUGGCUUCUAUGGUAAAGUAAUAUCCCAAUAUCUUCUUCCAGUAUUCUAAAUUCCCAGCCUUUUUCAUUCUCCUCUUUCUUCCAUCAGAGGCCACCACUUCCACAGAAGGGACAGGUACUUCUGGAACUGGAUUCAAAAUUGGUGAGAAGAAGCAACUCAUGAUUUGGCAUCAUAAUUAUUAGGUCUCUCAAGCUUUUCUUGAGAGAGUUUGUGUUUAUUUUAUUUAGGGACAAUGCAAGUGAUUCAAAAUAGAUUUGCUGGUGGAGAUACAUUUUUUUUUAAAUCUACUAAUUUUAAAAUGGAGCAUUACUGUUCAAUUUCCGAGGAUGGGAUGGAAUUUCUCCAUUUGUGUUACAACUAUUGCUAGCAGUUUAGGUGGAAUUCAGAAAGUUUUCAGUGUGUGUAUGUGAAACAGAAAAGAGCCCCAUGGACCCAGGACAUAUGCAUUUAUAAGUGUAUAUGUGAACAAAAAUGCCGGCUCAGUAUUUUCUUUCUUAUGUCUCAAGUUUUAAUACAUUUAAACCCUUUUUUCCCUCUUCUUUCUACCUCACAGCAGGCACCACUUCUGCCCCAGGGAAACAAGCAGGCACCUCUGGGGUAUCUCUUGCCACAACAGUUGCCCCUGGAAGUUUCAGCACAGCAGCUACAACUUCUCCUGGAGCAAGUGGAGUGACUGGCACUGGACCCACUGCAGAGACCACAACUUUCCUAGGAGGAAGUAGCACCACUGGAGCGGAAAUAAAAUCAGGAGCCACCACUGGAGCACCAGGAAGUAAGACAGGUAAAUUUGGAGAAAGCCUUCUAUAUGACCUUCAAUCUUGGCAAAAAUGA
rnacentral:lncRNA from 1 species